rnacentral:rRNA from 1 species
CCUACGGGUGGCAGCAGUGGGGAAUAUUGCACAAUGGGGGAAACCCUGAUGCAGCGACGCCGCGUGAGUGAGGAAGUAUUUCGGUAUGUAAACCUCUAUCAGCAGGGACGAAACUGACGGUCCUUGACUAAGAAGCCCCGGCUAACUACGUGCCAGCAGCCGCGGUAAUACGUAGGGGGCAGGCGUUAUCCGGAUUUAUUGGGGGUAAAGGGAGCGUAGACGGCUAAGCAAGUCAGAAGUGAAAACCCAGGGCUCAACCUUGGGACUGCUUUUGAAACUGAGUAGCGAGAGUGCAGGAGAGGUAAGCGGAAUGCCGAGUGUAGCGGUGAAAUGCGUAGAUAUUAGGAGGAACACCAGUGGCGAAGGCGGCUUACUGGACUGUAACUGACGUUGAGGCUCGAAAGCGUGGGGAGCAAACAGGAUUGGAUACCCGGGUAGUC